rnacentral:rRNA from 1 species
GUCUUCUUGUUAUAUUUAGGAAGUCUGGCCUGCCCAGUGAAAAUAAUUUAACGGCCGCGGUAUACUGACCGUGCAAAGGUAGCAUAAUCAUUAGUCUUUUAAUAGAGGGCUGGUAUGAAGGGUUUAACGAGGUGUUGACUGUCUCAUUUAAUUUGAAUUUAGAAUUUAAUUUUUUAGUUAAAAAGCUAAAAUACUAUUGGAAGACGAGAAGACCCUAUAGAGCUUUAUAUUUUUAUUAUUAAUUUAUUAUAGGUUAUUAUUAUUUAUUAUUAGUAGAAAGUAUUUUGUUGGGGUGACAAAAAUAUAUGAAUAACUUUUUUAUUUUAUUUACAUUGAUAUAUGAAUAUUAGAUCCAAUCUUAUUGAUUGUUAGAUUAAGUUACCUUAGGGAUAACAGCGUAAUCCCUCUCCAGAGUUCAUAUUUACAGAGGGGCUUGCGACCUCGAUGUUGGAUUAAGAUAAUAAUUAGGUGCAGCCGCUUAAUUAAUAGGUCUGUUCGACCUUUAAAUUCUU